AUUGAACGCUGGCGGCAGGCCUAACACAUGCAAGUCGAGCGGAUGAAGGGAGCUUGCUCCUGGAUUCAGCGGCGGACGGGUGAGUAAUGCCUAGGAAUCUGCCUGGUAGUGGGGGAUAACGUCCGGAAACGGGCGCUAAUACCGCAUACGUCCUGAGCGAGAAAGUGGGGGAUCUUCGGACCUCACGCUAUCAGAUGAGCCUAGGUCGGAUUAGCUAGUUGGUGGGGUAAAGGCCUACCAAGGCGACGAUCCGUAACUGGUCUGAGAGGAUGAUCAGUCACACUGGAACUGAGACACGGUCCAGACUCCUACGGGAGGCAGCAGUGGGGAAUAUUGGACAAUGGGCGAAAGCCUGAUCCAGCCAUGCCGCGUGUGUGAAGAAGGUCUUCGGAUUGUAAAGCACUUUAAGUUGGGAGGAAGGGCAGUAAGUUAAUACCUUGCUGUUUUGACGUUACCAACAGAAUAAGCACCGGCUAACUACGUG
rnacentral:rRNA from 1 species